rnacentral:rRNA from 1 species
UACGUAGGGGGCAAGCGUUGUCCGGAAUCAUUGGGCGUAAAGCGCGUGUAGGCGGCUUGGUAAGUCCGGUGUGAAACCUUGGGGCUCAACCCCAAGCCUGCAUCGGAAACUGCCUCGCUCGAGUCCGGGAGGGGAGAGCGGAAUUCCUAGUGUAGCGGUGAAAUGCGCAGAUAUUAGGAAGAACACCGGUGGCGAAGGCGGCUCUCUGGAACGGUACUGACGCUGAGACGCGAAAGCGUGGGGAGCAAACAGG